GACGAACGCUGGCGGCGUGCUUAACACAUGCAAGUCGAACGGUAAGGCCCUUUCGGGGGUACACGAGUGGCGAACGGGUGAGUAACACGUGGGUGAUCUGCCCUGCACUUUGGGAUAAGCCUGGGAAACUGGGUCUAAUACCGGAUAGGACUACGCGAUGCAUGUCGUGUGGUGGAAAGCUUUUGCGGUGUGGGAUGGGCCCGCGGCCUAUCAGCUUGUUGGUGGGGUGAUGGCCUACCAAGGCGACGACGGGUAGCCGGCCUGAGAGGGUGUCCGGCCAAACGGGGACUGGGAUACGGCCCAGACUCCUAGGGGGGGAAGCGGUGGGGAAUAUUGAACAAGGGGCGCAAGCCUGAUGCGGCGACGCCGGGGGGGGGAGGACGGCCUUGGGGUUGAAAACCCCUUUCAGCACGAACGAGGGGGAAGUGGGGGUAUGGGCAAAAAAAGCCCCGGCCAACUAGGU
rnacentral:rRNA from 1 species